UUCAUGUUCAUUAUAACCCUUGAGGCGUUCAACUGCGUGAUCAACAAGAAUAAAGAGUGUGAAGCUAAGGUGUGGGUCCCGCAAGAAUUGCUGGAUUUCAAGAUUGAAGGCGAUGCCUAAAUAAACCUUGCGAUUGGACUCGUAUUGCAGCAGUUAAUUCGUAAAAUAAAUAAAGCAGCAUUGCUUUGAUAAAGGUUCGAAUAAAGUACAAGUAUUGUUACCUGAGAACUUAAUGCUAUGAACUAUCAAUUUACUUAAUCGUAGCUAGUGUUUGAACGAACUUAAGCUCGAUUAUGUUUCGAUAUGUGGAAAUAAAACUAAAAUUUGUAAUUAAAAUUAAACUAAAAAAUCAACACAUGAAAACUUCACGAAAUGUUUUCG
rnacentral:lncRNA from 1 species